AUUGAACGCUGGCGGCAGGCCUAACACAUGCAAGUCGAGCGAGCGGCGGACGGGUGAGUAAUGUCUGGGAAAAAGCCUGAUGGAGGGGGGUAACUACUGGAAACGGUAGCUAAUACCGCAUACCAUCAGAUGUGCACAGAUGGGAUUAGCUAGUAGGUGGGGUAACGGCUCCCCUAGGCGACGAUCCAUAGCUGGUCUGAGAGGAUGACCAGCCACACUGGACCUGCGACGUGGUCCAAGAUGCUCCGCGAGUCAGGAAUGGGUACUAUUGCACAAAGGGCGCAGGCCUGCUACAGCCAUGCGGCGUGUGUGAAGAAGGCCUUCGGGUUGUAAAGCACUUUCAGCGGGAGUGCGUUACCCGCAGAAGAAGCACCGGCUAACUCCGUGCCAGCAGCCGCGGUAAUAC
rnacentral:rRNA from 1 species